UACGGAGGAUCCGAGCGUUAUCCGGAUUUAUUGGGUUUAAAGGGUGCGCAGGCGGGCUGUUAAGCCGGCGGUAAAAAUUCAGGGCUCAACCCUGUCGAGCCGUCGGAACUGGCAGUCUUGAGUGGGCGAGAAGUAUGCGGAAUGAGUAGUGUAGCGGUGAAAUGCUUAGAUAUUACUCAGAACACCGAUUGCGCAGGCAGCCUGCUAAUCCGCAUCUGACGCUGAUGCACGAAAGCGCGGGUAUCGAACAGG
rnacentral:rRNA from 1 species